CCUAACUAAUAAUCUUAUAUAAAUUAUUGGUUGUACUCCAACGAUAUCAUCAUCAUUCGAUGUAAUCAUAUGUCUAUCAGCGACAACAUUUUGAUGUAUAAUAAUUUACAUAAAACUAUACUACUAUAGUUUGAUUUGGUAACAUUGUAAAAACCAAAUAGAUAUUAUUUCUAGAAACCGUGGUGUAUAGAUAUGGUUUCAUUAUAUACAUCGAU
rnacentral:lncRNA from 1 species